UGCGGGGUAAAGUAGGAUAGCGGACUCUGAAUCCGUUCAUCUUGGUUCGAAUCCAAGUCCGGCAG
rnacentral:tRNA from 1 species